rnacentral:rRNA from 1 species
GGCCUACGGGAGGCAGCAGUGGGGAAUAUUGCACAAUGGGCGAAAGCCUGAUGCAGCCAUGCCGCGUGUAUGAAGAAGGCCUUCGGGUUGUAAAGUACUUUCAGUUGUGAGGAAGGGGGUAACGUUAAUAGCGUUAUCUCUUGACGUUAGCAACAGAAGAAGCACCGGCUAACUCCGUGCCAGCAGCCGCGGUAAU